rnacentral:tRNA from 1 species
GGGGAUAUAGCUCAGUUGGUAGAGUGCUUGCCUUGCAUGCACAAGGCCCUGGGUUCAAUCCCCAGAACCACA